rnacentral:rRNA from 1 species
GACGACGCUGGCGGCGUGGAUUAGGCAUGCAAGUCGAACGGUAUCAUCCUUUCGGGGGUGAGAGAGUGGCGAACUGGUGAGUAACACGUAGGUUAUCUACCCUCAAGACGGGACAACCCAGGGAAACUUGGGCUAAUACCGGAUGUGAGCAACUUUUAGUGUUUGAAAGGUGGCGUAAGCUGUCGCUUGGGGAUGAGCCUGCGUCCUAUUAGUUAGUUGGUGAGGUAACGGCUCACCUAGGCAAUGAUAGGUAGGCGGCCUUAACGGGUGGUCGCCCACACUGGGAUUGAGAUACGGCCCAGACUCCUACGGGAGGCAGCAGUCGAGAAUAGUCUACAAUGGUCGGAAGACUGAUAGUGCGACGCCGCGUGAACGAUGAAUCCCUUCGGGGUGUAAAGUUCUUUUAUAUGUGAGCAGUGCUUCUUAUAUUAACAGUAUGGGGAGAGAGAUAUUAGCAUAUGAAUAAGCAACGGCUAACUCCGUG